GGUGGGAAGGGGUUUUGGGUUGCAGAGAAGAGAGAGGUGAGAAAGGGGGGAGAGAGAGAGGAGAGAGUGAGAAAGAUUUAAUAUAUAUAUAUAUAUAUUUUUAAUUUUUGAAUAUUUUAUUAUUCAAAAAAUAUAUUUUUUAUUUUUUAAUCCAAUUGGAUUAGUGAGUGGGACACGUGUCGAACCACAUCAGUAUUUAACAGAGAAAUUAACAGAAAAACUGACAGAGGUCUAACAUUGACACAAAUUCGUAAGAUGAGGAGAAGUUGGCUACUUGGGUUAAACCCUUUCAUGUCAUGAUUUUGUUGGUUGAGUUGGGACCAGACCUUUGUCACAAAUAUGGUCUGGUUGCAAUUGGAUCGCAACCAACUAAUAACCAAAACUAACCACCAGCAGGGGGAGCUGGCAGAGGUAAUGGGUUCAGCUAGCUAGCCCAUGUCUUCCUAUUCACCAAACUCACACCACUUAUCUCCUUUUGUGACAUGCAUGUUGCGUACGUAAACAACUCUGGAAUUCAGGCUCCAGGCCCUACCCCAGAGGUUGGAUUAGGACCUACAUCAGGGUGACAUAUCAAGAUAGACGGAAGGUGUUACCUGCUAGUUUGUUGCUCAAUUAACAACUUGGGACAUGCUUAAUAUUGAUAUAAAGAUAUACUUGAUUAGUAGCACUUUAGAAAAACUAACUGAAAUGCUAGAAAUAGAGAAGAGUGUUUUGUAACAUCCAAUAGUGUUGUUCAUUGCCACCAAAGAGCGUCAAUCGCUUAUUACAUGCGCGCGUGAACGACUGUAAACCGUUGAUUGAUGUGAAUCUCAUGAUAAGUCUCAUUCCAAACAAUGUCUAAGAAUCGUCUAAGUGCG
rnacentral:sRNA from 1 species